AUUGAACGCUGGCGGCAGGCCUAACACAUGCAAGUCGAACGAGUGGCGGACGGGUGAGUAAUGUCUGGGAAACUGCCUGAUGGAGGGGGAUAACUACUGGAAACGGUAGCUAAUACCGCAUACCAUCGGAUGUGCCCAGAUGGGAUUAGCUAGUAGGUGGGGUAACGGCUCACCUAGGCGACGAGCCCUAGCUGGUCUGAGAGGAUGACCAGCCACACUGGAACUGAGACACGGCCAAGACGCCUACGGGAGGCAGCAGUGGGGAAUAUUGCACAAUGGGCGCAAGCCUGAUGCAGCCAUGCCGCGUGUAUGAAGAAGGCCUUCGGGUUGUAAAGUACUUUCAGCCGGGAGGCGUUACCGGCAGAAGAAGCACCGGCUAACUCCGUGCCAGCAGCCGCGGUAAUAC
rnacentral:rRNA from 1 species